UACGUAGGGAGCAAGCGUUAUCCGGAAUUAUUGGGUGUGAAGGGUGCGUAGAUGGGAGAGCAAGUUGGUUGUGAAAUCCCCAGGCUUAACUUGGGAACUGCAACCAAAACUACUAUUCUUGAGUGCAGUAGAGGAAAGCGGAAUUCCUAGUGUAGCGGUGAAAUGCGUAGAUAUUAGGAGGAACACCAGUGGCGAAGGCGGCUUUCUGGACUGUAACUGACAUUGAGGCACGAAAGUGUGGGGAGCAAAC
rnacentral:rRNA from 1 species